rnacentral:rRNA from 1 species
CCUACGGGAGGCAGCAGUGGGGAGUAUUGGACAAUGGGGGCAACCCUGAUCCAGCCAUGCCGCGUGUGUGAAGAAGGCCCUCGGGUUGUAAAGCACUUUCAGUGAGGAAGAACGCCUGGUGGUUAAUACCCAUCAGGAAAGACAUCACUCACAGAAGAAGCACCGGCUAACUCCGUGCCAGCAGCCGCGGUAAUACGGAGGGUGCGAGCGUUAAUCGGAAUUACUGGGCGUAAAGCGCGCGUAGGUGGCUUGAUAAGCCGGUUGUGAAAGCCCCGGGCUCAACCUGGGAACGGCAUCCGGAACUGUCAAGCUAGAGUGCAGGAGAGGAAGGUAGAAUUCCCGGUGUAGCGGUGAAAUGCGUAGAGAUCGGGAGGAAUACCAGUGGCGAAGGCGGCCUUCUGGACUGACACUGACACUGAGGUGCGAAAGCGUGGGUAGCAAACAGGAUUAGAUACCCCAGUAGUC